CACGUUGAUACGCGUGUUAGCCCGCUGAAAGCCGCACGCAUCGGCAGCCUGUGAAAGAAGCGGCCAACGACUUCCGCUCCGCGCUGACCUCUGAACUGUGAUGCCAUUGGUUCGUUUGCCUGCAGGCUGUGACAGGUAGAGACAGACAGCAGAUGGAGCGGGAUGGAAAUGACACUAAAGACGCGUCAUCACGCACACAGCAGAGUGCACGGUGGCACCGAGGGCGGCCACAGGAGACCGGGAAGUCUCCGGCUUUCACACGAGCAGCCAGGAGGGGGAAGCAUCUCUCUUUGGAAGUGUGCUCCCAAGAAAAGGAAAGAAAAAGACGGCAUCUUCGGUUUUUCAACCCAAGGACUGACAACACCAGCUUGCAUAGCUGUUCAGAAGGGAAUUGUUUCACUUCCUGUGCUACCCAAGAAUGGGCCGUGGCCGGCGCUGCAGAGCCUGGCGGGACGGACAGAGGGAGAGAGACGCAAUAGAAGGCUGAAGAAAAAAACAAGAAGACACAUGAAGAUGAGACCGUCGGAAAAGUAAACAGUGCGGAGGGAAAGAAGGGAGGGGGGCAAAAUCUCCAGCCAGAUCUAAGGUGCGCAGACAUGAAGGAACAUUCGUCCGUUAUCCACCUAAUAUAGAGCAUGACGUGUGGUUUGCAAAGGAAAUGAAAGGAUUUUGGACCUGACUCCUCUUGCUGCUUGAGCUGCUCUCAGGUAAAGCCUGAAACUGCAGAGUAACAAACUAAACUCCGGCCCACAAAUGCAAUAAUGCAUAACUCAAUCAUUGCAGCGAUGUUAUCUAAAGACACAAUUUGGCAUUGCUGUUUCCCCCCCAAAUUGAAUCAAACCACUGGACUAAACAACUGAAUAACAAUUGCCAAGACAUACCUGAAUUUGCAUAACGUUUCUUUUUUCUAGAACUAACCCAAUAUGCCGAGGAACAUCCUGGGAACUUCUGCAUGCUUAUUAGGUCAGAUACUGCUUUUGCUAAAGGCUCUUCUAACAAGUUGUUGACACCAUAUGCUCAACAUGCCAAUCUUGCUCUCUUCUCAGGUCUCCAUCAACAUGCUCUCUUAAUUCCAUGUUAGAAAGAAAUCUACAAGAACAAACUUAACAAAGACAAACUUGCCACCGAGAAUUGCAUUGACAAUUAAUUACAACCUGAUCUGCCAAAAUAGUUCCCUUUGGCCUGAUCCUGCUUCACAAUUCUCUCUUCUCUCAAUCUCUUUUUUUCUCCUCCAGAGGGGUCUAUUCCCAUAGUUUCCCCCUGUAAUAGUUUUUUGGCAUAUUACUCACCCCAGAGGUCUCACAUAAUUCACUUUUGAUAUCAUUGUUUAGUUGUAGAAUUAGAGGAGGGGUGCACACUGGGAAACGACUGUCGGGAAUGGCAGUGGGAUUUUAAUUCAUUCAUUGUUGUGACGUGGUAGGCGCCGAUAUCACAGCCGUGAAUCAAGGUGUUUUGGUUCGGGGAAGUUGCAGUUUUUUUCCUGGUUGUAUAUGUGUUUACAGGCUUUUCUUAAAUACAUUUUCCAUGCCACAAACCCCCAUUGUCACAGAGAUGACACUGUUGAUGGAUGAAAUAAAACUCAGAAAAAUCAG